CCACGUUCUCAAGGCAGCAGCCCUCUUUCUCUUAGGGUUUAUAAGUAUUCUUCUAACAUUUCUUACAAAACAGCCCCUAAAACCCCAUAAACUCUAGGUGAUUUACAUCCCUUUUCAAGUUGAUGUUGAAGGGAAUAUUAAAGCUUGUUAGAAUCUGAACCAAGAGAAAUAUUUCUACAGAAAAGGUCGAUUAACACUAGUAUGAUAAUCGUUUUGUGCGGAAGUGAACAUAUGUAGGAGCUGCUUUUGUUGUGAGUUGAUUGAGGACUUCUAAUCAAGGUUGAAGUAUUACGGGUAGUACACACACACACACACAUAUAUAUAUAGUGAGUCAUUGAUAAGCACAAAGGUAUGUAAAGUUAUC